AACGAACGCUGGCGGCAUGCCUAACACAUGCAAGUCGAACGAUGCCUUCGGGCAUAGUGGCGCACGGCUGCGUAACGCGUGGGAAUCUGCCUUUCGGUUCGGAAUAACUCAGGGAAACUUGAGCUAAUACCGGAUAACGUCGCACGACCAAAGAUUUAUCACCGAAAGAUGAGCCCGCGUAGGAUUAGCUAGUUGGUGAGGUAAAGGCUCACCAAGGCGACGAUCCUUAGCUGGUCUGAGAGGAUGAUCAGCCACACUGGGACUGAGACACGGCCCAGACUCCGACGGGAGGGAGCAGUGGGGAAUAUUGGACAAUGGGCGAAAGCCUGAUCCAGCAAUGCCGCGUGAGUGAUGAAGGCCUUAGGGUUGUAAAUCUCUUUGACCCGGGAAGAUAAUGACGGUACCGGGAGAAUAAGCCCCGGCUAACUCCGUG
rnacentral:rRNA from 1 species